UACGGGGGGGGCAAGCGUUGUUCGGAAUUACUGGGCGUAAAGGGCGCGUAGGCGGUUCGAUAAGUCCCGUGUGAAAUCCCUCGGCUCAACUGAGGAACUGCACGGGAAACUGACGGGCUUGAGUUCGGGAGAGGGAAGCGGAAUUCCGGGUGUAGCGGUGAAAUGCGUAGAUAUCCGGAGGAACACCGGUGGCGAAGGCGGCUUCCUGGACCGACACUGACGCUGAGGCGCGAAAGCUAGGGGAGCAAACAGG
rnacentral:rRNA from 1 species